rnacentral:lncRNA from 1 species
AUGCCUCCAGCCACCUCGCCGCCGCCGGAGCCCGCCGCCGGAACCGUGCGACCAGCCGGGAAGGCGGCGGCGGGGAAAACAUACCGGCGGCGGAGCAUCCCCUUGGCGUGGGAGGCGGCGCGACGCACGCACGGCGGAAGGCGGCGGCCGGAGCGGCCGGCGGGGCUGAUCCGGUCGCGCCGGACGCGGAUCCGGCCUCCCCGAUCGGGAGAGGGGCGGCGGCGGCGCGGCAAGACGGCGGGCGGCCUCAAGCUCGCGGCGACGGCGACGUGGCAAGUCAGCGGGUGGCCCGAGCUCGCGGCGACGGCGGCGCGGCAAGACGGCGGGCAGCCUCGAGCUCCUGACGACGGCGCUCGCGACAGCGGGGCGCGACUCGGCGGAAUAGCUCGCGGCGGCGGCGGCCGUGACAGCGCGGAGGAGCAGCUCGGCCGGCACGCUGCGGAGGCUGACCGGCCAGACGGCUGUUGGCGACGGCGGCGGUCGUGCCCGCUGUGGUGCUCAUGGCAGUUGGUGGUGGCGUCGGCUAGCAACAGCUGCGGAGGACAUGGCGGCGGCGUCGAGCUAGCUGCUUGGUGGCGGAGGAUGACGGCGCAGCGGUUUGCGGAGGCGGAGGCUGGCGUCGGUGGCAGCGGCGACGGCGGCCGUGGCUGUGGACGGUGGCGACGUCGGCGGAUGCGGGUCGCUAGCGAGGUGGCUGGGCGUUCGGCAGCAGCGGUUGCGGUGGCGGUGACCGUGUCUGCGGUCACCGGAGGCAUGGCGGACUUGGAUGGCUAGCCGAGGGCGU